rnacentral:rRNA from 1 species
GACGAACGCUGGCGGCGUGCUUAACACAUGCAAGUCGAACGGAAAGGCCUGCUUUCCCUUGUGGAUUGCGGGUACUCGAGUGGCGAACGGGUGAGUAACACGUGAGUGAUCUGCCCCCAACUUGGGUAUAAGCCUGGGAAACUGGGUCUAAUUCCCGAUAGGGUUGCAGGGUGGUGCCUGUGGUGGAAAACGAUUUUCUAGUGGUUGGGGAUGAGCUCGCGGCCUAUCAGCUUGUUGGUGGGGUAAUGGCCUACCAAGGCGGCGACGGGUAGCCGGCCUGAGAGGGUGGACGGCCACAUUGGGACUGAGAUACGGCCCAGACUCCUACGGGAGGCAGCAGUGGGGAAUAUUGCACAAUGGGCGGAAGCCUGAUGCAGCGACGCCGCGUGGGGGAUGACGGCCUUCGGGUUGUAAACUCCUUUCGACCGCGAGGAAGCCACCUGGUUGGAAGGGUGGUGACGGUAGUGGUAGAAGAAGCACCGGCUAACUACGUG